rnacentral:rRNA from 2 species
UGGGUAACCUGCCCCGAAGCGGGGGAUAACAUUUGGAAACAAGUGCUAAUACCGCAUAAUUAGUUGGAACCGCAUGGUUCCAACUUGAAAGAUGGCUCUGCUAUCACUUUGGGAUGGACCCGCGCCGUAUUAGUUAGUUGGUGAGAUAAAAGCCCACCAAGACGAUGAUACGUAGCCGACCUGAGAGGGUAAUCGGCCACAUUGGGACUGAGACACGGCCCAGACUCCUACGGGAGGCAGCAGUAGGGAAUCUUCCACAAUGGACGAAAGUCUGAUGGAGCAACGCCGCGUGAGUGAUGAAGGUUUUCGGAUCGUAAAACUCUGUUGUUAAAGAAGAACAAGUGUUAGAGUAACUGUUAACACUUUGACGGUAUUUAACCAGAAAGCCACGGCUAACUACGUGCCAGCAGCCGCGGUAAUACGUAGGUGGCAAGCGUUGUCCGGAUUUAUUGGGCGUAAAGCGAGCGCAGGCGGUUUUUGUAAGUCUUGCUGUGAAAGCCCUCAGCUCAACUGAGGAAGUGCAGUGGAAACUACAAAACUUGAGUACAGAAGAGGAAAGUGGAACUCCAUGUGUAGCGGUGAAAUGCGUAGAUAUAUGGAAGAACACCAGUGGCGAAGGCGGCUUUCUGGUCUGUUACUGACGCUGAGGCUCGAAAGCAUGGGUAGCGAACAGGAUUAGAUACCCUGGUAGUCCAUGCCGUAAACGAUGAAUACUAGGUGUUGGAGGGUUUCCGCCCUUCAGUGCCGCAGCUAACGCAUUAAGUAUUCCGCCUGGGGAGUACGACCGCAAGGUUGAAACUCAAAGGAAUUGACGGGGGCCCGCACAAGUGGUGGAGCAUGUGGUUUAAUUCGAUGCUACGCGAAGAACCUUACCAGCUCUUGACAUCUUCUGCCAACCCAAGAGAUUGGGCGUUCCCUUCGGGGACAGAAUGACAGGUGGUGCAUGGUUGUCGUCAGCUCGUGUCGUGAGAUGUUGGGUUAAGUCCCGCAACGAGCGCAACCCUUAUUAUUAGUUGCCAGCAUUUAGUUGGGCACUCUAGUGAGACUGCCGGUGAUAAACCGGAGGAAGGUGGGGACGACGUCAAAUCAUCAUGCCCCUUAUGAGCUGGGCUACACACGUGCUACAAUGGAUGGUACAACGAGUCGCGAAACCGCGAGGUCAAGCUAAUCUCUUAAAGCCAUUCUCAGUUCGGAUUGCAGGCUGCAACUCGCCUGCAUGAAGUUGGAAUCACUAGUAAUCGUGGAUCAGCAUGCCACGGUGAAUACGUUCCCGGGCCUUGUACACACCGCCCGUCACACCAUGAGAGUUUGUAACUCC